GGUUAAGUUAGAAAGGGCGCACGGUGGAUGCCUUGGCACUAGGAGCCGAAGAAGGACGGGACUAACACCGAUAUGCUUUGGGGAGCUGUACGUAAGCGUUGAUCCAGAGAUUUCCGAAUGGGGGAACCCACUAUCUUUAGUCGGAUAGUAUCCUUACGUGAAUACAUAGCGUGAGGAAGGCAGACCCAGGGAACUGAAACAUCUAAGUACCUGGAGGAAGAGAAAGAAAAAUCGAUUUCCUGAGUAGCGGCGAGCGAAACGGAAAGAGCCCAAACCAAGAAGCUUGCUUCUUGGGGUUGUAGGACACUCUAUACGGAGUUACAAAAGAAAGUUAUAAAUGAAGCGGUCUGGAAAGGCCCGCCAAAGACGGUAACAGCCCGGUAGUUGAAAUGGCUUUCCCUCCAGAGUGGAUCCUGAGUACGGCGGAACACGUGAAAUUCCGUCGGAAUCCGGGAGGACCAUCUCCCAAGGCUAAAUACUCCCUAGUGACCGAUAGUGAACCAGUACCGUGAGGGAAAGGUGAAAAGCACCCCGGAAGGGGAGUGAAACAGUUCCUGAAACCGUGUGCCUACAAGUAGUUAGAGCCCGUUAAUGGGUGAUAGCGUGCCUUUUGUAGAAUGAACCGGCGAGUUACGAUUUGUUGCAAGGUUAAGCGGAAAAAGCGGAGCCGUAGCGAAAGCGAGUCUGAAUAGGGCGCAUAAGUAACAGGUCGUAGACCCGAAACCAGGUGAUCUACCCAUGUCCAGGAUGAAGGUAAGGUAAUACUUACUGGAGGUCCGAACCCACGCACGUUGAAAAGUGCGGGGAUGAGGUGUGGGUAGCGGAGAAAUUCCAAUCGAACUUGGAGAUAGCUGGUUCUCUCCGAAAUAGCUUUAGGGCUAGCCUCGAGGUAAAGAGUCAUGGAGGUAGAGCACUGUUUGGACUAGGGGCCCUUCUCGGGUUACCGAAUUCAGAUAAACUCCGAAUGCCAUGUACUUAUACUCGGGAGUCAGACUGCGAGUGAUAAGAUCCGUAGUCGAAAGGGAAACAGCC
rnacentral:rRNA from 1 species